GAUGAACGCUGGCGGCGUGCCUAAUACAUGCAAGUCGAGCGAACAGACGAGGAGCUUGCUCCUCUGACGUUAGCGGCGGACGGGUGAGUAACACGUGGAUAACCUACCUAUAAGACUGGGAUAACUUCGGAAAACCGGAGCUAAUACCGGAUAAUAUAUUGAACCGCAUGGUUCAAUAGUGAAAGACGGUUUUGCUGUCUCUUAUAGAUGGAUCCGCGCCGCAUUAGCUAGUUGGUAAGGUAACGGCUUACCAAGGCAACGAUGCGUAGCCGAACUGAGAGGGUGAUCGGCCACCCUGGAACUGAGACACGGUCCAGACUCCUACGGGAGGCAGCAGUAGGGAAUCUUCCGCAAUGGGCGAAAGCCUGACGGAGCAACGCCGCGUGAGUGAUGAAGGUCUUCGGAUCGUAAAACUCUGUUAUUAGGGAAGAACAAAUGUGUAAGUAACUAUGCACGUCUUGACGGUACCUAAUCAGAAAGCCACGGCUAACUACGUG
rnacentral:rRNA from 1 species